rnacentral:rRNA from 1 species
AACGAACGCUGGCGGCAGGCCUAACACAUGCAAGUCGAACGCCCCGCACGGGGUGCGGCGGACGGGUGUGUGUCGCGUGGGGACGUACCCUUUUCUACGGAAUAGCCUCGGGAGACUGGGAGUAUUACCGUAUGUGUCCUUCGGGAGGAAGAUUUAUCGGCAAGGGAUCGGCCCGCGUUGGAUUAGGUCGUUGGUGGGGUAAUGGCCUACCAAGCCGACGAUCCAGAGCUGGUUUGCGAGGAGGAUCAGCCACACUGGGACUGCGACACGGCCCAGACUCCUACGGGAGGGAGGAGGGGGGGAUCUUAGACAAUUGGGGCAAGGCUGAGCUAGCCCAGCCGGGGGAGCGAUGAAGGCCUUAAGGAUGUAAAGCUCUUUCAGGGGGGAAGAUAAUGACGGUACCCCCAGAAGAAGCCCCGGCUAACUCCGUG